ensembl:lncRNA novel transcript
UUUAGCGAUCUGGUUGCAACUAAGGUAAACGUUUAUCAUGCAAAUAUUGCUCUCUCCUUGGCGAUACCUUGUUGGUAGAAGUAGAAUUUAAAAUAUAUUAUUGCCAUUUGCCAGCUGACCUGUGACACAGCAGCAGUGUAUUACAUUUUCAAUGAGCAGUCUGUCUGGAGCUGCUAGUGGGAGAAACUGCUUCCUGGUUUCUAGGGGAGGCAGAUGAUGAAUAAAUGAACAAAAAAUAUAAUAAUGGAUAUGUAUUUAUAAGUGCUAUGAAGAGAAGAAAUCCAAGCAAGAAGAGAGUGAAAUGAGGUAUCCUGUAAGAACAAAUUGCUGCCUCCUCCAGGUGGAAAGGGAUCAAAUAUAAUUAAUCUGUGUGUGCCACACAGUAGCUUGAUAGUUUAAUUGAGGAAUGUUGACAUAUUGAGAGCUCAGCAUUACUUUCUGCUAUCAGCAGUGACGCUGACUGAGCUGGGCUCUCAAGCUCUUCUCGACAACCAUGUAAGAAGCGAUGACAAUUGUACUACUUCAUAACAGCUGCAUGGAACUCUGACACACACUUCACAGCAACCAGUCAUCUAUAUAAACCAAUUUCAGGAGCAAAAUUGCAUGGUGCCUCCACUCUGUUAUAAACACAAUGAUAUCCACUCAAAGCUGAUAAAUGCACUACAUUUCUCUGCAGCUUAAAAGAAUAAGUUCCUUGCAUCUGAGAUUUCCUUCCCACAAAUUAAGUCAUUUUUUUUGUCCUAGCCAUUAAUUUAAAACUUUAGAAAGAACAAGACCAUUUAGAUUUUGAAUACCCGUAAAAUAAAGAAAUUUCAGUCUUAACAUUUUGGUUCUCCAACUAAAUACACUUUCAAUUUUUUUUGGAAUAUCUCUGCCAGACUUUCCUAAUUGAUGAUCUGAAGGAGAAAGCAAAAGGAAGAAGUAAUUAAGGUUUAAAAUACUUACCACUGCCAUAGCAAUUCACCAGUUAAUUACAAUAUCUUUUCAUAGGAUUAUACACAAUACAAUUCUUAUUAUUGAAUAAAACAUCUACAAGCAACCUGGAAACUAUUGUUAAAACUUAAAUCUUAACUACCCUGUGUUUGGUGAAUAAUAAAGCUUUGGUGAAUCCGUUAAUAAUUCCAAUAGAGUCAAGUAAGAUAAAGAGGUCACUCAUAUUUUUAAAUACACUCUUGUAUUACCAACACACAUUUUUAAAUUAAGGUUGAAAAGACAUGGGUAAAAAUUAUGUACAGUUUCAGAUAAAAAAGACAGACACCCAAUUUUUUCAUGUUGAUAACAGUGACAUAUAUUGUGUAUAUAUAUGAGCAUAUAUGAGUACAUAUAUACAUAUAUAUUAUGAGAAUAUAUGUGUAUAUACAUAUAUGUAUAUAUCCUCAUUUAUAUAUGUAUAAAUAUGUCUAUCAUGUAUACACAUAUAUCCUCAUAAUAUAUAUCUGUAUAUGUACUCAUAUGAUAUAUAUGUAUCUAUGAGGAUAUAUACAUAUAUGUAUAUAUACAUAUAUCCUCAUAAUAUAUAUCUGUAAAUGUACUCAUAUACACUCAAUAUAAACAUAUAUACAUUAUGAGUACAUAGUCAUAAUCAUUUCAGAUAUUAGAAAAUGUGUAUACAUUUAUUUUUUCAUUUUCUUUAUUCUAACAAUUUUACAGGAAGUCAGAGGAAUAGAAUAUUUGAGCAGAGAGAACAGCAAACGUACUUCAUAGGACACAUAUUUUAAUAAAUUAUAAUUUAUUAAUAUGUUGAAACUUAAUUACAGAGACAAACUCUGCUGUGUCUAGUGGAGUUUACUGCUGAACAAAUGGAAGGACUAUAUUAUUGUACUACUUAAACUAUACGAUCUUAUGGCAUAAUAUUCAAUGAGUGUCCAUUGUCAAUAUGUUAAUGUACACUACCAGUGGACUUAUAAUUUCUGGCAUUAGUUAAGAACUUUACAACAAUAACUUAAAAUGAUAAAUGUUAGUUUCAGAAGUGAGUCUCAUGUGAGCUUCACUGCUUUAACAAAAGUGUGAAA